GAAAUUUAAUUUGUUUGCGCAGUUCCGCACGUUGCUUAUCUACGGCUUGGCUGAAUUUGUGGCAUUGGAAGUGGAGGAAUGUAAUAAAUUAUUAAAAAUUUGUUCCCUACCUGAUUUACCCGAUGUGCAGCUUCAGGUAUGAGGGUAGUAGUGAACCUAAACUUUCUUAAAGUAUGGGGUACUCACCUUGGAAGGCUCUUGCAGCGGAAGAAGCACGGAAGUGAUUGCAGUGGUUUGGGUUGUUGAAUUAUUGACGUGGACACCAAAAUUUUGUUAUUCCAGAAUUGUUCUUCCCAAUUCAUCGAUACCCUACAUUGAAAAGCUGAAAGUACCAGAAUGGUUGACGAGGUAUGGACGUGAACACUAAAAUUUUGUUAUUCCAGAAUUGUUCUUCCCAAUUCAUGGACAUCCUACAUUGAAAAGCUGAAAGUACCAAAAUGCAUUAAUGUCGUCAUGGGCUAUCAGUGAGAAGGAUUUUAUAGUUGGAAUUUGUCGUGAGGUACUUUCACCCUUUGUUUAGAAACGUUGUUUUUAUUUUCUGGUAAGUGAAGGUAUUUUGUACUUGGGAGUAAUGUGGGUUGUCUAUAUGAAGGUGGCGUACAGUAAGAACUAUUUUUAAAUUCAAAUUAUCGUAGUCCUUUCGAGGGAAAUUAAAUGAGUGUGCUUUAGACUAGAUAAAGUUGGAAAUGUUACAAUGAAGAUGUCGUAAUUUUUCUAUUUUAGUUUUAAGCAUGCAGAAAUGUCAUACUCGUUAUUAGGAAGUGCUAUUUGUUUAGUAAAAUAUCAGUGUUGAUCCCACUAUAAUGAUUUGCCUUAUGAUUCAAUGUUAAAUAUUUUACUUUAGCUGAAACGAUUGCAUAAUGGUUGUGUUUUAU
rnacentral:lncRNA from 1 species